rnacentral:rRNA from 1 species
CAAGUCGAACGGCAGCACGGGAGCUUGCUUCUGGUGGCGAGUGGCGAACGGGUGAGUAAUGUAUCGGAACGUACCCAGUCGUGGGGGAUAACUCUCCGAAAGGAGAGCUAAUACCGCAUACGUCCUGAGGGGGAAAGCGGGGGACCUAAGGGUAACUGAGGGCCUCGCGCGAUUGGAGCGGCCGAUAUCGGAUUAGCUAGUUGGUGGGGUAAAGGCUCACCAAGGCGACGAUCCGUAGCGGGUCUGAGAGGACGACCCGCCACACUGGAACUGAGACACGGUCCAGACUCCUACGGGAGGCAGCAGUGGGGAAUUUUGGACAAUGGGGGCAACCCUGAUCCAGCCAUUCCGCGUGAGUGAAGAAGGCCUUCGGGUUGUAAAGCUCUUUCAGCAGGAGCGAAACGGUCGUUUUUAAUACAGACGGCUAAUGACGGUACCUGCAGAAGAAGCACCGGCUAACUCCGUGCCAGCAGCCGCGGUAAU